CAGCCAUCAUUUAAAGAAAGCGUAAUAGCUCACUGGUCGAGUCGGCCUGCGCGGAAGAUGUAACGGGGCUAAACCAUGCACCGAAGCUGCGGCAGCGACACUGUGUGUUGUUGGGUAGGGGAGCGUUCUGUAAGCCUGUGAAGGUGGCCUGUGAGGGUUGCUGGAGGUAUCAGAAGUGCGAAUGCUGACAUAAGUAACGAUAAAGCGGGUGAAAAGCCCGCUCGCCGGAAGACCAAGGGUUCCUGUCCAACGUUAAUCGGGGCAGGGUGAGUCGACCCCUAAGGCGAGGCCGAAAGGCGUAGUCGAUGGGAAACAGGUUAAUAUUCCUGUACUUGGUGUUACUGCGAAGGGGGGACGGAGAAGGCUAUGUUGGCCGGGCGACGGUUGUCCCGGUUUAAGCGUGUAGGUGUGUGUUCCAGGUAAAUCCGGUUCACUUUAACACUGAGGCGUGAUGACGAGGCACUACGGUGCUGAAGCAACAAAUGCCCUGCUUCCAGGAAAAGCCUCUAAGCAUCAGGUAACAUCAAAUCGUACCCCAAACCGACACAGGUGGUCAGGUAGAGAAUACCAAGGCGCUUGAGAGAACUCGGGUGAAGGAACUAGGCAAAAUGGUGCCGUAACUUCGGGAGAAGGCACGCUGACACGUAGGUGAAGUGAUUUACUCAUGGAGCUGAAGUCAGUCGAAGAUACCAGCUGGCUGCAACUGUUUAUUAAAAACACAGCACUGUGCAAACACGAAAGUGGACGUAUACGGUGUGACGCCUGCCCGGUGCCGGAAGGUUAAUUGAUGGGGUCAGCGCAAGCGAAGCUCCUGAUCGAAGCCCCGGUAAACGGCGGCCGUAACUAUAACGGUCCUAAGGUAGCGAAAUUCCUUGUCGGGUAAGUUCCGACCUGCACGAAUGGCGUAAUGAUGGCCAGGCUGUCUCCACCCGAGACUCAGUGAAAUUGAACUCGCUGUGAAGAUGCAGUGUACCCGCGGCAAGACGGAAAGACCCCGUGAACCUUUACUAUAGCUUGACACUGAACAUUGAGCCUUGAUGUGUAGGAUAGGUGGGAGGCUUUGAAGCGUGGACGCCAGUCUGCGUGGAGCCGACCUUGAAAUACCACCCUUUAAUGUUUGAUGUUCUAACGUGGACCCGUAAUCCGGGUUGCGGACAGUGUCUGGUGGGUAGUUUGACUGGGGCGGUCUCCUCCUAAAGAGUAACGGAGGAGCACGAAGGUUGGCUAAUCCUGGUCGGACAUCAGGAGGUUAGUGCAAUGGCAUAAGCCAGCUUGACUGCGAGCGUGACGGCGCGAGCAGGUGCGAAAGCAGGUCAUAGUGAUCCGGUGGUUCUGAAUGGAAGGGCCAUCGCUCAACGGAUAAAAGGUACUCCGGGGAUAACAGGCUGAUACCGCCCAAGAGUUCAUAUCGACGGCGGUGUUUGGCACCUCGAUGUCGGCUCAUCACAUCCUGGGGCUGAAGUAGGUCCCAAGGGUAUGGCUGUUCGCCAUUUAAAGUGGUACGCGAGCUGGGUUUAGAACGUCGUGAGACAGUUCGGUCCCUAUCUGCCGUGGGCGCUGGAGAACUGAGGGGGGCUGCUCCUAGUACGAGAGGACCGGAGUGGACGCAUCACUGGUGUUCGGGUUGUCAUGCCAAUGGCACUGCCCGGUAGCUAAAUGCGGAAGAGAUAAGUGCUGAAAGCAUCUAAGCACGAAACUUGCCCCGAGAUGAGUUCUCCCUGAGACUUAGAGUCUCCUGAAGGAACGUUGAAGACGACGACGUUGAUAGGCCGGGUGUGUAAGCGCAGCGAUGCGUUGAGCUAACCGGUACUAAUGAACCGUGAGGCUUAACCUUACAACGCCGAAG
rnacentral:rRNA from 1 species